GAUGAACGCUGGCGGCGUGCCUAAUACAUGCAAGUCGAGCGAAUGGAUUAAGAGCUUGCUCUUAUGAAGUUAGCGGCGGACGGGUGAGUAACACGUGGGUAACCUGCCCAUAAGACUGGGAUAACUCCGGCAAACCGGGGCUAAUACCGGAUAACAUUUUGAACCGCAUGGUUCGAAAUUGAAAGGCGUCUUCGGCUGUCACUUAUGGAUGGACCCGCGUCGCAUUAGCUAGUGGGUGAGGUAACGGCGCACCAAGGCAACGAUGCGUAGCCGACCGGAGAGGGUGAUCGGCCACACUGGGACUGAGACACGGCCCAGACUCCUACGGGAGGCAGCAGUAGGGAAUCUUCCGCAAUGGACGAAAGUCUGACGGAGCAACGCCGCGUGAGUGAUGAAGGCUUUCGGGUCGUAAAACUCUGUUGUUAGGGAAGAACAAGUGCUAGUUGAAUAAGCUGGCACCUUGACGGUACCUAACCAGAAAGCCACGGCUAACUACGUGCCAGCCGCCGCAGUAA
rnacentral:rRNA from 1 species